GGGGCAUGGGAAGUGAUGGGUGGCAGAGGUCACACUUUUAAAUGGAAUAGUCAGGAUGGACUCACUGAGUGGACUAUGCUUGAGCAGGUUUAAACCAUGGAGGAGGAGGAUUCCAACCAGGGGAACAGCUUGAGCUAAGGCCCUGAGGCAGGACCACACCUGUCCUGUUCCAAGAACAGCAAGGAAGCCAAUGAGCAAUGAACGAGGAGCAUUGGGCUCCUCAACAGAAAUGCCAGCAUCUAAAAUUCUGAGGGAAGUCAUUUCCGGCCUGAAUUUUACACCCAGGGAGAUACAGUCAAGUUCUUCAGAAUGUCAUUCCUGGAAGUGGUCCGGAGGAGAAGAAAGCCUGUCCUGCGGUUCCAACCCACGCAGACUUCCCACCCUGAACGUGCAGCACUGAGAUAGGGAGAGGAAGCAGGGGGUGGUCCCUGGGGAGGAAGUGGACUCACCUCGCAUCUGAACGGCUUCUCCCCGGAGUGCUGCAGGGAGUGCACCUUGAGAGACAUGCUGCGUUUGAAGGACUUCCCACAGGUCUCGCAGGCCCCUUGGAGGCCCACCUGGAUGUUGCGUUCGCAGUCCGUCUGCCGGUGCAGCAGCAGCUCGCUCUCUAGCAGGAAGCGCUUGCCGCACUGGUCGCAGAUCUGCAUGCGGCUGUGGGUCACGUUCAUGUGCUUCUCCAUGUACCAACGGUUGUUGAAAACGCGCGGGCACUUCUGGCACGGAUGGUGCUGUUUUUCCUCCAGCUUCACCUUGGCCCCCAGCCCAUCGGCCGCCUGUGGCCCUCGGGAGCCAGGAGCGGCAGCCACUCCUGCAGGUGGCUUUGGCCGCUUCCCGCCCCGCCGCCCGGCCUCCUCUGGCUCAGGGGGGCCACGGCGCUGGGCGGACCUCGUGGCCAUGCGACUGUGGGCAGGGGGCUCUGCCCGGCUGCUGCGGCGCCCCAACCCCCCCUGCCUGCCCCCUGCCUCCCCGUCCUCCUCAUCUUCCUCCUCCUCUGAGCUCUCCUGAUCCUGCUCGCUGUGCCCCUCCUCUUCCUCCUCCUCUUCCUCCUGUUGCUCGCUGUGCCCUUCCUCCUCCUCAUCCUCCUCAUCCUCCCCCUGACUGCCGCCCUCCUCCUCCUCCUCCUCUGCUCCACUGCCUCCUCCCUCCUCUUCCUCCUCCUCCUCCUCUUCCUCCUCCUCCUCCUCAUCCUCCUCCUCUUCCGAAUGUCUCUGCAGCCCGUCCUCCCGGCCCAGCACCAUGGUGGCCGGGCCGGUGGCAGCGCCUGGCUUGCCCUCGGGCCCUGUGGACACGUGCAGUGUCUGGUUGUUGAGGUUCACCUCCACGAUGAUCUGGGACUGCUCCCGCCGACUGUAGGUGCCGGAACCCCCGAGCUCUUCCUCCAGCUCCUCCCCACCCUCCAGCUUGCACAAGCUGGCCGGGGGCCCGCCAGCCUCUUCAACGCCACCCUCUUUCUCCUCCUUGAAGAAGGGCUGAGCCGGCCCGAGGGCAGCAGGCACCGUGCCACCCGUGGCCCCAGCCCCGUCCUCGACGCGCACAGAGUAGGGGUCGGGGCCCUCUCGGGCGUAGAUCUUGGGCAGGCCCGGGGCGUCAGCCUCCUGCUUGAUGUCGCAGUAGUAGGUUGGCGCAGCUGGGGUGCAGCCAGCAGCCGGCUGGGCGAGGGUCACGGCGCCGGGGCCCGGGGGGCCGAGGGAGCGGGCAUCUAGCAGCUCCUGGCAGGACGCGGCGAUGUCGGCCAUCUGCAGCAGUGAGGCAGCACUCAGCACUUCGUGGACGUUGGCUGCGUUGACCAGCAGCUUGGACGUGUAGAUGAAGUUGAGGAUCUGCUGCAGGCCGCCAGGUGCCAGCGCCUCCAGGGACAGCUCCACGCGCUGCAGCUGCUUGUUCUGGGUGAAGAGCGAGUGGAAGAACUGGCUGUAGGCGGCCAGCACGCCCUUGUGGGCCGGGAAGACGCUGCGCUGUGGCACCAGCACCAAGUCCACGUCGCACAGGUCAGGCUGGAAGAGGCGCUGCUCGUUCAGGCGGCCCAUCAAGCAAGCGAAGUGCAGCGCCACGUCCUCCACCAGCGAGAACUCGGCCGCCGGUGAGUCCGUUGUCUUCUCAACCAGCAACUGCGGGGCCGAGGGCACAGGUCAGGUCGAGGCCAGCCAGGAGGUGCCCCCCACCCCCCAUCACUCUUGGUUCCCUGUGACAGAGAAGGUGCCGAAACUCAAGCAAAGACGAUGGGGAACCAGGAUUCAAGGCCGAGUCAGCUGUCCCUCAGAGCUUAAACUCCUGAGGCUGCGUAUCAGCUCCUGGGUCACUGGCUGACUUUUCUGGGCCUCCAGCUGUUCCACUGUGAAAUGGGAGCAGUCAUCCCGGGAAGGGAAGCGGAAAAGGAGGAAAGGGGAAGGAAAAGGUUCGAGGGGGACCAACCAUGCAGGUGGGCCAGGAACCUAGGGGUUUCCUGGGAUGCAGGACUUCUGAUACUAAAACCAGGGCUGUCCCCAGCAAAAACGAGGACUGGGUUGUCUCCCCAGAGGCAUCAUUUCAGUAUUUCUGGUCCCCAUGGAUUCUCUCCCUGACACUCACUCACAGAUAAAACCAAUCCUGCCCAGCCCCAGACACUUUAGGAACAAAAGUCACAGUCACUCUCCUGGAGGUACAGUGGCCAGAGAGAGUGCAGUGAGCUAGGUGACUUCUGUUCCUCAGGUGUUUGGGGUUGGGCAGGAUUGGUUUUAUCUGUAAGUGAGUGUCAGGGAGAGAAUCCACAGGGCCUGGAAAUACUGAAAGGAUGCCUGAGACGACCCAGUCCUGGUUUGCCAGGAGCCAGCACCGGAGAUCCCACCUAUGACAAGGUCAUGUGGAAGAGAUCUGAUAAGCAACGCUUCAGGCCUCGAGGGACCCCCCCCACCGGACCAGCUCGAGCAUCUACCCCAAAACCAGAAUCUGUCUUACUGUUUUGUGCCUUUCACCAACUCUCCUGACAUUAACAGGGGGCUAUUCCCGACCACCUUUCUCUGGAGAAAAUCAACUUAGGGCUCUAACUAAUAAAUCUCCUGGACAUGAGAGGAAUAUUUCAAAUCAAACCCCCUCUGUUAGCAUUCCAGCUUGCUUGGCAGGUUUAUCCAGACUCCUGCAGCUACGCAUGUGAUUAUUCACAGCCUCCCAGCUGUGAGAGGCACGGGAAGCCUAAAACAUAGAGCCUUUCAAAGAGUUAAAAACUAUUAGAGUAGUGCUGGUGUAAGAUUUCAUUAUUGGGCCAAUGCUUGUUGCUAAGUUCCCAUAUCUCUUAUCCACUGUGCACCUGGGAGUGCAUUAGUUAACAUAGUUGGAAUGUAAGAAAAACAAGUGUAGCCUUGAAAUUAACCACAUCAGACUUUUGAGCUAAUUGGUUUUUUCUUGUAACUCAGUGCACCUUUGCUCCGUGAGAAAUGUAACUCUGUUUAGCAUUUUCUGAGGCUGAUAUAGAUUAGAAAUAUAAAGAAAAAACACUUUGAGGGAAAAUAAGUUUUCUGGUUGAGCAGCCUUUAUCGAAAGAGGGUCAUAAAAUGGCCACAGGCCUCCAAGGCCAGAAGAUAAUGUACACAACAUCAUUUGUGGGAAAGGUAUGCAGAAAAAAUGCUGGCUUCAAUAAGGGCAAAACUGCUGGAGUGUUUGGGCUGACUCUGUAUGACCUUGCAUCUUUCAUUUCCCUCUAUGUACAAGUUAAGGUAUAAAAGUCCCUUUUGAAAAUAAAGUUAUGGGCCUCGCUCA